GCGGAGCGGCCCCGGGGGAUGCAGGCGCAGGGCCGCGGGCUGCGGAGGCGCGGCUCGGGCACGGGGCAGGGCCGCAGGGAGCCGCGCUCCGGGACCCCCCCGGACAAGAAGGAAAAGGCAUGUGAACAAUCCUUCUCAACGAUUCCAGAGGAGCCAGAGCCUGUUCCAUACGUUCUGCGAGGAGAUGACAUCCAAGCACUUGCAAUUAAGUUAGAGGACCUGGAAAAACUCCAUGCUCCACACCUUCCCCAUGAUGCCGGGAGAAUUCCAGUUAGGAGGAAAUUCCUCAUUCGAAAAUAUCGGCCCAAAGAGACAAAAAAGAAGGCCCAUCUUCUGGUAGCAUAUCCUGUCUUCCCAAGGGCACCCAAGGAACAGCUGAGUUUUUCUGGACCAGGACAGUUUGGUGAUGGCUGUGAAGAGAUUCUUCCUCACCACAUUUUGGGAAGUCUCCAGGAGUUCAAGAUGGAAGCCUUGGCCAGAGGAAACACUCAGAUAGCAGAUUUUAUUCAAGUUCCUCGUAAAAAUAUUGCUGCAGCAGUUUUAAAAGAAGAACAUGGAGGAGAGACAAAGAAAAAGGUCCGUCAGAUCCCACCAUCAGAGCACAGAGCUCUCCAGAACUGGCACCGUAAUAUGGCACUCAGGAAAAAGCAGGAGAGGUAUCUAGGAGAAAUUCUUCAGAAGCCAGAAAAUGAGUUGUUGAUGAGCAUCUCAGAGGAUUACAGACAAAUCCAGGAAGAACGUGACCUCAUUGACCGGAGUCUCCCUGCCCUGUUUCCUGGAAAGGGCUACCGAACAGGAAGCGAGUUCUGGAGCCAGCCCGAGCGCAUCGGAGAUGAACUCACUGGCCUGAUGCUGACCCUGACUCAGAGGGAACGGGGCUACCCAGCGCCAGUCACUCACGUGGGGAAACCCCACACUGUGCGAAUGGAAACGGGUCUGAAACCUCCGAAGAGGAUCCCUUUCCGUCUAACCUGGGAUAAGAGUCUUUUCCUGAAACGCCGACGGCAGGAGCUAAAAUCUGUCCUAGAGGAGCUAGACUUUUACAAGCCGGAUCUGGAUGGACUGGAGGUGAUCGGUAAAGGGCAGCCUUUCACGUCUGUCUCAAUGCAGUCUUUUCCAUGUUCCACCAGUUCUGAAGAGCCUGAGACCCUCAGUGACUCCUUAGGGGAUUAUCAUGAUCUGGUUCCAGAAGCAGUAUGGGGCCCGUCUUUGGAUUUCUGUGGCCAGCCUGCACGUUGGAUCAACUGCAUCACUUCUUGCAGGCAUAUAGUUGGCAUUGCUGCCCGUCUCACUUUUGAGACUGUGGCUGGUGAAAAAGCCGAAAGCUUCCUGACGGUGAGCAAUGAUGGCACAGCUGCCAUCUGGUAUAACUGGAGGAGGCUUCUCCAGCAGAUUCCCUCCAGAGAAACCAAGAGGAUACAGUGUUUUUACUUUGAUGCCAGACCAGGUGUAAUUUUGCCUGGAGAAACUAGAAAGUUUGUCUUUCUUUUCAAGUCAGAGAGAGCUGGCAUUUUCAGCGAGUCCUGGGAAUUUAGGACACAUCCUCUGUUAUUAGGAGGAGCUCUGCUGCAGGUGACCCUUUGGGGAAUUGCUGUGUAUGAGGAUAAAUUGGCUGACCUCAGAGAGAAACUGGAGUCUGACCUGGCUGCUCAAGAGGGUGCUGCUAUAGUAGAAGAGACUCUGAAGGAACUUCUUGUCCGAAUUCGGACCCCAGAGCGCACCCCAUCUCCUGUGGAUGCCUAUGUCACAGAGGAAGAGUUGUUCCACAAGACGAAUCCCAAGUUGCAUUAUCAGCAUCGAGUGGUUAAGCAGCUGCAGGAACUGUGGAGACAGCACGUGACCGUCCCUUCAGCCUCUGAGGAGAAAGUGCCCUCAGGCCCGAAGAGCAGCGUGGAGGACAUGCAGCUCCAGGAGAGUGUCUCGGAGGCUCUCUCCACUCAGGGGAGUGCUACAGAGAUCCCAGACUGGAAGAACACACUCGAUGUGACUCUGAGUCAAGUGAAGGUGGAAGAGGAAGAGCCAGGCCCCUCAGCGUGGAACUUUUCCUUCGAGGACUUUAAGCAGGCUAUAAAGUUGAUCCCGAAGGAGGAGCAGCGAGAAGAAGCACUGACCCAGCUCAAUAAGGCAGCACUAGAGCUGUGUGUUGAACAGAGGCCAACCCAGUCAGACCUUUUGUAUCAAACCUGGCUUUCAGACUGUAAACAUAUCAACAGCUGCUAGCUGCUUCUAAAUCACAGGAAUGCGGGUUCCUCUUGGUAUAGGCAGCAGAUCAAUGCUGAUUUACCAGUGUGUCAUGUUGAAGAGCAGGAGACCUAGUUACCCAGUAAUAUUUAUGGGUCCAUGUGAGCCCAUUGACAUGCAAACCCAAGGAAAGUAAUGUAGCUUCCCUCUGCCCAGAUUUUUAGAUGUUAGGUGCAAUUGUAUUGAUUUAAUUGGACAGAGCAGCCUUUAGCUGUAAGGUGCCUUCACUCCUGGGCAUUGGGUAAAACAAGAUGGCCUUGCCCCUACCUUUCCACCCCAAAAUGCCCAAUUGCUGUGCUGUCUCCCUUCUGUUUCUGAUACUUUUCUCAGCCUCCAGCUGUGGCGUGAAACAAUUGAUGGUCUGGUGAGUCACUCUCUGAAGCUGAGAUCCCUGCUUGGCUUGCCUGAGAAGGACACCUGUGUAGAUGUUCUUCCAGAGGAAACAGCAGAAGUAAAACAACCUAUAAAAGGAGGAAAAGAAGACAAAAUAACCAGUAGGAAAGAAGAGAGAAGGUCAGUUGGUGGUAAGGAUAAAGAAGACAAAAAAAGAACAGCUAAGACUGCAGGGA